rnacentral:rRNA from 1 species
GACGAACGCUGGCGGCGUGCCUAAUACAUGCAAGUUGAGCGCUGAAGGUUGGUACUUGUACCAACUGGAUGAGCAGCGAACGGGUGAGUAACGCGUGGGGAAUCUGCCUUUGAGCGGGGGACAACAUUUGGAAACGAAUGCUAAUACCGCAUAAAAACUUUAAACACAAGUUUUAAGUUUGAAAGAUGCAAUUGCAUCACUCAAAGAUGAUCCCGCGUUGUAUUAGCUAGUUGGUGAGGUAAAGGCUCACCAAGGCGAUGAUACAUAGCCGACCUGAGAGGGUGAUCGGCCACAUUGGGACUGAGACACGGCCCAAACUCCUACGGGAGGCAGCAGUAGGGAAGCUUCGGCAAUGGACGAAAGUCUGACCGAGCAACGCCGCGUGAGUGAAGAAGGUUUUCGGAUCGUAAAACUCGGUUGGUAGAGAAGAACGUUGGCGAGAGUGGAAAGCUCAUCAAGUGACGGUAACUACCCAGAAAGGGACGGCUAACUACGUG